UGGGGAAUAUUGCGCAGUGGGCGAAAGCCUGACGCAGCGACGACGCGUGAGGGAUGAAGGUUUUCGGAUCGUAAACCUCUGUCAGAAGGGAAGAAACCGCACUGUGCUAAUCAGCAGUGCCUUGACGGUACCUUCAAAGGAAGCACCGGCUAACGCCGUGCCAGCAGCCGCGGUAAUACGGAGGGUGCAAGCGUUACUCGGAAUUACUGGGCGUAAAGCGCACGUAGGCUGCUUUGUAAGUCAGGGGUGAAAUCCCACGGCUCAACCAUGGAACUUCCUUUGAUACUUCUUAGCUUGGAUCCGGGAGAGGGUGGCGGACUUCCAUGUGCAGGAGUGAAAUCCGUAGAUAUCUGGCGUAACCUCAGUGGCGAACGCGGCCACCUUGAACUGUAUUGACGCUGACGUGCGACAGCGUAGGGAUCAAACAGG
rnacentral:rRNA from 1 species